ensembl:lncRNA
AUGCUGCAACUUGCAAAAAUGUACCAGCAUUUAAAAUUUCUUUUCCUGGGAAUCAAGGACAUGUUUGUGAGGGGCUGGCUGCUGCUUUUAUUCACACUUGUUCAGGGAGAGCACAGAGAAUACCCUUCAGCAUGGCCACUCUGGACCCAAGAGGAGGAAAAAACGGAAGCUUUUUUAGGAGAAGGAGGACUCGCAGGAAUCCAAGAUGUGAAGAACUAUUGGUGGCUGGCUGGCGGCCAGCGGGCAUCACACCUGCACUUGAGUGCCUCGGGCUUGCUUAUUAAUAAUGCACAGAAGAAGCGUCACUUCUCACCAUCUCCUGGCAUGUAUGGAGCAGGGAGCAAGGCCAUGUUCCAAAAUCCCUGAUUAGCUUGUCUUGCUCUACGCUCGACCUCGAACAAUACAGCUUGUAAGACCUCAGUCAGUCCUGGCACGCUGGGGUAUAUCAGUGUGGUGGUGGAAGAAAAGCCGGGAGGCCUAUUUUUAUAGAAAAUAGUACCACUAAAGGUGCAAUGCUGUCAUUUUGGACAAAAGGAAAGAAAUUUGGAAGAACUGGGAUUAUUGGCAAAAACUUGCUGAGGGGUGAAUCUUGAUGAGCUAAUCACUGCAGAACCAGAGUUGCAGCAAUAUGAUUGCGAGCAAGUCUGAAUGCAUGGUUUUACUUUAACUCGGCUUGACAAUUUCAAUAGGUAACCCCCUUGGGACUGACUGAGUCGUUACGCAUGUGUCAAUCAAUGGGAGGUGUGCAUUCUCUAGAAGUAGUUUUAGGCUGUUUGGUUUGGUUUGGUUUUUGUUUUUUAAAUGCAGCCUGUUUAGGCACUGUCAUGUGGUGUGAAAGAUUUAAAUGUAGCAAUGCUAAAGAAUAAUAAUUUGGGGAUAAGAAGUGGGGACAUUGGCCGGGCGCGGUGGCUCACGCCUAUAAUUCCAGCACUUUGGGAGGCCGAGGUGGGUGGAUCACCUGAGGUUGGGAGUUCAAGACCAGCCUGACCAACAUGGUGAAACCCCAUCUCUACUAAAAAUACAAAAAAUUAGCUGGGCCUGGUGAGGCAGGAGAAUCGCUUGAACCCAGGAGGUGGACGGUGCAGUGAGCUAUUACUCCAGCCUGGGCAACAAGAGCGAAACUCCAUCUCAAAAAAAAAAAAAAAAUGGGGACAUUAAGAGAGUGGUGAUGACCCAAAUGUUGAACCGAUUAUGUUUUGGUGGUGGUGGUGUUAGCUGUUGAAUCCUGAAUGGCUUAUAAAGUGAAUUAGCUGGCUUAAUGCAGCCAGCGUUCUGGGCAGCAGAACAUAUUCAUUCUUACUGUAAAUUCUAUUUGCUGCUUCCAAAGGUGAUGAUUUUCAAGCAGACAUGUUCUAUAUGGUCUGUGUUUUAGGAUCUGGUGCCCAGCCUCUAUCAGAGCUUACCUACCUGGCAAAGCUGCCUACCCUUAGAGUGGGAAAAUAUAAUCCACUGUUUAAUAAGGCUCACCCUCUCCACCCUGUCCUAACGACCUUUUGUGAAUGUGCUGUAAUAUUUUCUUGCUCAAUAGCAAGGUGGUAGCUCUGCUUUCAUUUUAAGAAAGUGGAGGCUGAGGGCAUUGUAUCAAUACUGUUUCAACUCCAAGAAGUUUUCCUUGUAAAAUUAAAGGAAAGAUCUUAUUAUUGAUUAACCAUUUUCUUAUGCCUUGCUAUUGACAUAUUCAUGCUCUUUCUAUGUCUAGUGGCUGAAAAUGUUUGUAUUUGUUCAUUUGACUAAUGGUGUGAUUUUUGUUUCUAUAUUAUUAGACCUGUAAUGUUUUAAAAUGUAUUUUAUUAAAUUUGGACUGGAUGUAUGUCUCUAGCAAUACGAGGUACUUUCUAAACUAUUAAGGGAGGGGUUGUAUCCUCAUGUUGAGAUAAGAUGAUGGUCGUUUAAAUUUUGCAAUUUUUUUUGGCCUGCAGGGAUAUUUUGUGUUUAUGUGUCCAAAAAAGGAAUAAAUUGGCAUUCUUGUGCCA